rnacentral:misc_RNA from 1 species
GAUGAAGAACGUAGCAAAAUGCGAUAAGUAAUGUGAAUUGCAGAAUUCAGUGAAUCAUCGAAUCUUUGAACGCACAUUGCGCCCGCUGGUAUUCCGGCGGGCAUGCCUGUUCGAGCGUCAUUUCAACCCUCAAGCCCCCGGGUUUGGUGUUGGGGAUCGGCUCUGCCCUUCUGGGCGGUGCCGCCCCCGAAAUACAAUGGCGGUCUCGCUGCAGCCUCCAUUGCGUAGUAGCUAACACCUCGCAACUGGAACGCGGCGCGGCCAUGCCGUAAAACCCCAACUUCUGAAUGUUGACCUCGGAUCAGGUAGGAAUACCCGCUGAACUUAAGCAUAUCAAUAAGCGGAGGA